UUUUAUGAGAGUUUGAUCCUGGCUCAGGACGAACGCUGGCGGCGUGCCUAAUACAUGCAAGUCGAACGCUUCUUUUUCCACCGGAGCUUGCUCCACCGGAAAAAGAGGAGUGGCGAACGGGUGAGUAACACGUGGGUAACCUGCCCAUCAGAAGGGGAUAACACUUGGAAACAGGUGCUAAUACCGUAUAACAAUCAAAACCGCAUGGUUUUGAUUUGAAAGGCGCUUUCGGGUGUCGCUGAUGGAUGGACCCGCGGUGCAUUAGCUAGUUGGUGAGGUAACGGCUCACCAAGGCCACGAUGCAUAGCCGACCUGAGAGGGUGAUCGGCCACAUUGGGACUG
rnacentral:rRNA from 1 species